AGGAGGAACAACCACAGUGGCAUCAGCCAGCCCUGGAGCCCUGGUUUCAGCUCCUGCAGUAACUACGGAGCUCUUAGUCUGCAGGGGCCUGGAUGCUCCGGGGGCGG
rnacentral:pre_miRNA from 1 species